CGAAGAAGAAGUUGGCCAGUUCUCUGCUCCAGUAACCUGGGUUUUCUGUGUUUUAAAGGGAGAGGAGAAAAAUCUCAAGUCUCAGGAAACAGAAGCUCAGUCAGGGUUGAGAAAUCCCUAAAUCUCCUGUGGUGUUUUGCUUGGUGGAACCGAGRACAAAGCUUGGAGAUGAUAUUUUCCAAUCUUCCGAGCUUCUGCCUGACUGACCCCACUC